UGCAAUACAAGGGCGACAUAUCCGACGCUUUCAGCAACAGUGCAGACAAUUUGGUUUUGUUUUAAAUUAUCCAGUAGCCUAACCUUAAUUUAAACAUGGACGUGUGCUUGGUAGGUCUAACAAAAAAAAACACAAUAACAUGUUACAUGCCCGUGCCAUCUAUUGCCCGCAUAGAGGAGUAUUUGGCCGUUUUCAACAUCUUUACCGUGCGAGAGAGAGAUGGCUUUCUCCAAUGCAACCCACGUAUCACAGGACGCUUUCGGAUUUGGCCUUCAAUCCAAGGGCGACAUAUCUGACGCUUUCAGUAAAAGCGCGGAUAAUUUGCUUUUGUUUCAAAUGAUCCAGUAACCUUAAUUUAAACAUGAAUGUGUGCUUGUUAGGCUUAGUCAAAAAACACAAUAAUAUGUGACAUGCCCAUGCCAUCUAUUGCCUGCAUAGAGGAUUUGAUUGGUCAUUUUCAACACCUUUAUCGUGCGAGAGAGACGCUCAUGGCUUUCUUCAAUGAAACCCACGGGCGUUUCACAGGACGCAUUCGGAUUUGGCCAAAUUGCAAUACAAGGGCGACAUAUCCGACGCUUUCAGCAACAGUGCGGACAAUUGUGUUUUGUUUUAAAUUAUCCAGUAGCCUAACCUUUAUUAUUGAAAGUACAUCUUCGGUACACAAGUUCUCUCUUUUGCUCUAGUCUUCCGGUCCGCCUGCCAGAAAUAUUUGUUCCGCCUGCUCCGCGUGUUAGUUUAGUGAAAAUAUAUUAAGCUAUGGUGGCGAAGCCAUUAAGUUUAGAACAAGUUCGCCACUGCACCCUAUCAAAAAGACCUUGUUUGCGACUUGAACCAAGACAGAAGGUGCUUUGGAGGAACAUGUCAGUGAUAUGUUCCUUCUGUAAAGCACUGGAGUACCUGAGCUAUAUUUCUCAAAGUGAACCCUCAUACAGAGACCCUACUGAGUACUACGCAGAGGCGCCUGGCGGUACAGCUACAAGGUCAACCUCAGCAUAGAUGAGUCCAGAAUCCACGCCCCUUAGGUAUUUGCUCCUGAUAUCCUGACCAGCAAAACAUAUACAGAAAGAAGUGUUCCACUACUAAUUUCCGUUCAUCUGUGGUUCUCCUGACAUGUUGGGAGAGCAGCAUUUCAAUUUCAAUUCUGACUGCUCUUCAAUUAACAUAAUCAUCCUCAACAUCCUCACAUCUUGCGCAUCCUCACAUUCUGCACAUCCUCACAUCCUGUGGUUCACUGCAACGGGUAGUUACAUCAGUACAGCGGAUCAUUGGCGCAUGAACUCGCCACAUUGAAAGUUUACUGUUCCACUCUGAGUAACAUCUCAUAUUAAUAGCUUGAAUUUCCCAUUGGGCAUCAAUAAAGUAUCUAUCUAUCUAUUAGCACUAUUUUGUAAUUGUACCACACUGACAAAUUGCUGCUACUCUACUAUUCAAUGAUUAUUUUACCACACCAAUGGAGUUCGAUGAAAUAUACAUCAUGCACUGCGCGUGCAGACAGCAGUUGCAGGAAUAUGCUAUCAUCUUGAGCAAUAUCGUUAUUUUUGCACUUAAACAUAACAUUCCAGAAUCACAUCCAAAACUUUUCCACGUUGAGUGACUACCAUUGUUUUUCCACUUAAAAAUGAGUUUCUUUAAAUUAUACUGAUAAUUGUAACUAGAUACUUGUUUGAGUUUAUUAUAUUUA